GUUAGGAAUAUUGGACAAUGGGCGCAAGCCUGAUCCAGCCAUGCCGCGUGAGUGAUGAAGGCCUUCGGGUUGUAAAGCUCUUUAGCCGAUGAUUAUAAUGACUGUAGUCGGAAAAUAAGCCCCGGCUAACUUCGUGCCAGCAGCCGCGGUAAUACGAAGGGGGCGAGCGUUAUUCGGAAUCACUGGGCGUAAAGCGUGCGUAGGCGGCUUUGCAAGUUGGGAGUGGAAGCCCAGGGCUCAACCCUGGAAUUGCUCUCAAAACUGCAAGGCUCGAAUUCGGGAGAGGAUAGCGGAAUUGGCAGUGUAGCAGUGAAAUGCGUAGAUAUUGACAGGAACACCAGUGGCGUAAGCGGCUAUCUGGACCGAUAUUGACGCUGAGGCACGAAAGCGUGGGGAUCAAACAGGAUUAGAUACCCUGGUAGUCC
rnacentral:rRNA from 1 species